rnacentral:misc_RNA from 1 species
GAAAUGCGAUAAGUAAUGUGAAUUGCAGAAUUCAGUGAAUCAUCGAAUCUUUGAACGCACCUUGCGCUCCUUGGUAUUCCUUGGAGCAUGCCUGUUUGAGUAUCAUGAAAUCUUCAAAGUAAAUCUUUUGUUAACUCAAUUGGUUUCUACUUUGGUAUUGGAGGUCUUUGCAGCUUCACACCUGCUUCUCUUUGUUCAUUAGCUGGAUCUCAGUGUUAUGCUUGGUUCCACUCGGCGUGAUAAGUUAUCUAUCGCUGAGGACACUGUAAAAGGUGGCCAAGGUAAAUGCAGAUGAACCGCUUCUAAUAGUCCAUUGACUUGGACAAUACUUUUAUGAUCUGAUCUCAAAUCAGGUAGGACUACCCGCUGAACUUAAGC